UACAGAGGAUGCAAGCGUUAUCCGGAAUGAUUGGGCGUAAAGCGUCUGUAGGUGGCUUUUUAAGUCCGCCGUCAAAUCCCAGGGCUCAACUCUGGACAGGCGGUGGAAACUACCAAGCUGGAGUACGGUAGGGGCAGAGGGAAUUUCCGGUGGAGCGGUGAAAUGCGUAGAGAUCGGGAGGAACACCAGAGGCGAAGGCGGCGACCUGGACAAGUACUGACACUCAACUGCGAAAGCGUGGGGAGCAAACAGG
rnacentral:rRNA from 1 species